GUGCAUUCUGCCCGAGGUCGUCCAGAGGAUCAUCCUUGCUGAUCCCGAGCUACGGGUCUGGGACUCUCUGAGAUCUUUUCUCGAAGUAGAUUAACUCACUUUUUUCUCCUUCUUACUUCUUUACUUAAUUUAUUCUUUAGCCUUUAUAUUGACUCCCCGGCCUUUCUUGCAGAUUGGACACCAGCUUGUCGCCAACGUCGAGGCGGUGAAGAUCGCCAAGAGGGAGGCAGCUCGGGGGGAGG
rnacentral:lncRNA from 1 species